rnacentral:rRNA from 1 species
AGAAUCAACGCUGGCGGCGUGCCUAACACAUGCAAGUCGAACGCGAAAGCCCCGCAAGGGGCAAGUAGAGUGGCAAACGGGUGAGUAACACGUGGGUGACCUGCCUUCGAGCGGGGGAUAACGUCCCGAAAGGGACGCUAAUACCGCAUAACAUCCUGCCUUUGAAGAGGCGGAGAUCAAAGCUGGGGAUCGCAAGACCCGGCACUUGAAGAGGGGCCCGCGCCUGAUUAGCUAGUUGGUGGGUAAUGGCCUACCAAGGCAACGAUCAGUAUCC